GGAUAAUGAAUUGACCUUAAUCAAGCAUAUAUUUUUUCUUCAAAAAUCGUUAGGCCCAAACCCUUGGCUCAAAAGGGUCACCUAAUUAGGAUGCACGUUUAUUACAAUAUGCUUGUGUAAUAUAACUAUUUAUGUGCUUAUACGUGUUAUGUUGAUUCGAAUCAAAGGCGAACUAAUCCAAUCCCAUUUUCCAUAGAACAUCUCUAGGCAGAAAUAUACCCCACUAUACAAAAGUCCGACUAAAAGUACUCCAAGUCUCCCAAGUUUCUCAGAAAAAUCCGUAGUCAUUCUUAAAACUUCCAAAAUGAUCGCUACCAUGUUAGGAAAGUUGACUUUAGAAUCAGAA
rnacentral:lncRNA from 1 species